GUCCAGGGUAGCCUAGUGGUCAUGGCAUCUGCCCGGUAAGCGGAAGGUCGUGGGUUCGAUUCCCACCUUUUGACA